rnacentral:rRNA from 1 species
GAUGAACGCUGACAGAAUGCUUAACACAUGCAAGUCUACUUGAACUUCGGUUUGGGUGGCGGACGGGUGAGUAACGCGUAAAGAACUUGCCUCACAGAUAGGGACAACAUUUGGAAACGAAUGCUAAUACCUGAUAUUAUGAUUUUAGGGCAUCCUAGAAUUAUGAAAGCUAUAUGCACUGUGAGAGAGCUUUGCGUCCCAUUAGCUAGUUGGAGAGGUAACGGCUCACCAAGGCGAUGAUGGGUAGCCGGCCUGAGAGGGUGAUCGGCCACAAGGGGACUGAGACACGGCCCUUACUCCUACGGGAGGCAGCAGUGGGGAAUAUUGGACAAUGGACCAAGAGUCUGAUCCAGCAAUUCUGUGUGCACGAUGAAGUUUUUCGGAAUGUAAGGUGCUUUCAGUUGGGAAGAAAAAAAUGACGGUACCAACAGAAGAAGUGACGGCUAAAUACGUG